GGUCAAGCUACAAAGGGCUGACGGUGGAUACCUAGGCACGCAGAGGCGAUGAAGGACGCGGUGACCGGCGAAACGUUCCGGGGAGCUGGAAACAAGCUUAGAUCCGGAAGUGUCCGAAUGGGGCAACCCUAUGAACUACCCGCUGAAUAUAUAGGCGGGAAAGAGCUAACCGGGUGAACUGAAACAUCUUAGUAACCCGAGGAAGAGAAAGAAAACUCGAUUCCCUAAGUAGUGGUGAGCGAAGGGGGAAGAGCCUAAACCAUUUGGUUUACCAGAUGGGGUCGUGGGACAGACAUAAGAGACCAAUCAACUUAGACGAAUCCGUUGAAAGCGGAACCACAGAAGGUAAAAGUCCUGUAGUCGAAAAGAAGAGCAGCUCGUCUGGAUCCCGAGUAGCACGGAGCACGUGAAAUUCCGUGUGAAUCAGCGAGGACCACCUCGUAAGGCUAAAUACUACUGCGUGACCGAUAGUGAACCAGUACCGCGAGGGAAAGGUGAAAAGAACCCCGGAAGGGGAGUGAAAUAGAACAUGAAACCGUCAGUCUACAAGCAGUGGAAGAACGAUUUAACGUUCGACCGCGUGCCUGUUGAAGAAUGAGCCGGCGAGUUAUAAGCACUGGUAGGUUAAGGCAUACACUGCCGGAGCCAAAGCGAAAGCGAGUCUGAAUAGGGCGUUAAUCAGUGUUUAUAGACCCGAACCCGGGUGAUCUAACCAUGUCCAGGAUGAAGCUUGGGUAAAACCAAGUGGAGGUCCGAACCGACCGAUGUUGAAAAAUCGGCGGAUGAGGUGUGGUUAGGGGUGAAAUGCCAAUCGAACCCGGAGCUAGCUGGUUCUCCCCGAAAUGUGUUUAGGCGCAGCGGUCGAGAUUUAAACCUGGGGGUAAAGCACUGUUUCGGUGCGGGCUGCGAGAGCGGUACCAAAUCGAGGCAAACUCUGAAUACCAGGGGAACACUCGGCCAGUAAGACGGUGGGGGAUAAGCUUCAUCGUCAAGAGGGAAACAGCCCAGACCACCAGCUAAGGUCCCCAAAUUGUCACUCAGUGAUAAAGGAGGUGGGAGUGCAAAGACAACCAGGAGGUUUGCCUAGAAGCAGCCAUCCUUGAAAGAGUGCGUAAUAGCUCACUGGUCAAGCGCUCCUGCGCCGAAAAUGAAUGGGGCUAAGUGACAUACCGAAGCUGUGGAAUACAUAUUUUGUAUUGGUAGGGGAGCGUUCUAUAUGGGGUGAAGCACUAGCGGCAAGCAGGUGUGGACUGUAUAGAAGUGAGAAUGUCGGCUUGAGUAGCGAAAAUAUUGGUGAGAAUCCAAUACCCCGAAACCCUAAGGGUUCCUCCGGCAGGCUCGUCCGCGGAGGGGUAGUCGGGACCUAAGGCGAGGCCAAAUGGCGUAGUCGAUGGACAACGGGUUAACAUUCCCGUACCUUCGGUUGUUGGUGUAGAGUGACGGAGAAGGCUGCCGCCAGCCAGAUGUUGGUUACUGGUUCAAGUGUUCGAGGUGUUGAGGGACGGCGAAAACGUCCUGAGCUGAGGCACGAGUACGAGACCCUACGGGGUCGAAGUGGUAGGAGUCCAGCUUCCAAGAAAAGCUCAUUGCACCAUAAACAAUCGAGGCCCGUACCCGAAACCGACACAGGUAGGGAGGUAGAGAAUACUAAGGGGCGCGAGAUAACUCUCUCUAAGGAACUCGGCAAAAUGGCCCCGUAACUUCGGGAGAAGGGGUGCCCCCUGAUGAGGGGGGUCGCAGUGAAGAGGCCCAGGCGACUGUUUAUCAAAAACACAGGUCUCCGCAAAGUCGCAAGACGCGGUAUGGGGGGCUGACGCCUGCCCAGUGCCGGAAGGUUAAGGAAGUCGGUCAGGGGGUAACCCUAAAGCUGGCGACUGAAGCCCCGGUGAACGGCGGCCGUAACUAUAACGGUCCUAAGGUAGCGAAAUUCCUUGUCGGGUAAGUUCCGACCCACACGAAAGGCGUAACGAUCUGGGCGCUGUCUCGGAGAGAGACUCGGCGAAAUAGGAGUGUCUGUGAAGAUACGGACUACCUACACCUGGACAGAAAGACCCUAUGAAGCUUUACUGUAGCCUGGAAUUGGGUUCGGGCUUGGCCUGCGCAGAAUAGGUGGGAGGCUUUGAAGUACCCCUUGUGGGGGGUAUGGAGCCAUCGGUGAGAUACCACUCUGGCCAAGCUAGAAUUCUAACCUUAACCCAUGAUCUGGGUAAGGAACCGUUUCAGGUGGGCAGUUUGACUGGGGCGGUCGCCUCCUAAAUGGUAACGGAGGCGCGCAAAGGUUCUCUCAGGCUGGUUGGAAAUCAGCCAACGAGUGUAAAGGCAUAAGAGAGCUUGACUGCAAGACAAACAAGUCGAGCAGGGACGAAAGUCGGCCUUAGUGAUCCGACGGUUCCGAGUGGAAGGGCCGUCGCUCAACGGAUAAAAGUUACUCUAGGGAUAACAGGCUGAUCUCCCCCAAGAGUCCACAUCGACGGGGAGGUUUGGCACCUCGAUGUCGGCUCAUCGCAACCUGGGGCGGAAGUACGUCCCAAGGGUUGGGCUGUUCGCCCAUUAAAGCGGUACGUGAGCUGGGUUCAGAACGUCGUGAGACAGUUCGGUCCAUAUCCGGUGUAGGCGCAAGAGCAUUGAGAGGAGCCUUCCUUAGUACGAGAGGACCGGGAAGGACGCACCGCUGGUGUACCUGUUAUCGUGCCAACGGUAAACGCAGGGUAGCCAAGUGCGGAGCGGAUAACCGCUGAAAGCAUCUAAGUGGGAAGCCCACCUCAAGAUGAGUGCUCUCAUGGAGUUAAUCCAGUAAGGUCACGGGCAGAACACCCGUUAAUAGGCGCUAGGUGGAAGUGCAGCAAUGUAUGUAGCCAAGGCGUACUAACAGACCGAGGGCUUGACCUC
rfam:Oscillatoria acuminata PCC 6304, complete genome.